GGUGAAGUGGAUCUGCAGGGCCACGUCCCGGUCGUCGUCCUCGUCCGCGGCCAGCAGGCACAGGACCACGUUGUCGGGGUCUCUGCGGGCGGCGGGGGCGGCGUCACCGCCUGGCCCAGGCCUACCAGUAACAGAAGGCUAAGAGCUCAGGGAGUCUCUUUGCUGACUCCGUGGUCUGACCGCAGUUCCGGAAGUUCUCCACUGUGAAGCUGUGGGCUGAAGUGAAACAUCCCAGGGAGACAUGUUGGAAGCCCUCCCACAGGCUGUCCACCUAAGGAAAGCACUGUUCUGAGGUGCUGACUAUCUAGAUGAUGGUGUCCCAUACUUGCAAACGUGCUGGCAGCCAGAUGCCACAGGAGUUGCAAAGCAGCACAACCCAAGGCCCUGCUUCCCGUAGCUGCAGCCAUCACAGAAGUCAGGACACAGCCCCAGAAGCCGCUGCACAAGAGUGCAUGGUUAAAGCUGACCAGUUCCCACAUGUCUGGCAUCACACCUACUCUGCAGCUGAGACUUCAGGAGCAUAAGUUCAAGGCUUAGAUGAGCUACAGGGUGAGUUCAAGACCAGCCUGGACAAUUAAGUGAGUUCAAAAUACCAUAGUGCAGACAGAAGGCACAUUCUGUGCCUUGGAUAAUAAGCACAUAGAGUCACGAAACGUUCAGCUCCAGGAACAGGGACUUGGCUAAUAGUAACUUUAUUAAUAAAGUAUUUCAUUAUUCCACAUACCAGACAUAGUGCUCCAUGCCUGUAAUCCUAGAACUUGAGACUGGAAGGCAGGAAGAUUAAAAGUUCAAGAUGAAUCUGACUGUGUAGCAAGUUUAGGACCAGCCUGGGCUAUCUGUCUCAAUCAGAGGGAAAAGCACACAGUGA